GCUAGUUUGACGUUUAUUAGAUAAGCAAGUUUGUUUCGUAUUACGAAUUUACUUUAUUUCGAUUAAUAAAUUACUUGACGAUAUAGUUGAUUUUUUCAUCUGUAUGCCUUGCGUACGAUCACAUCUUUUCAAAUUUUCCAUGAAUGUUUCUAUAGUCUUCCUGCAGCUAUUGGUAAUGCAAAUACCCUUCCUUCAUUCAAAAUCUGCAAGAUGGUAUUCGUCUUCAAGAUUUAAUUUUAGCUGAGAAUAGAAAUGUGAAAAAUGACACGAUAUUUGAAAGUGGCAAAUAGCAUUCGAUUUAACAUCUUCUAUAAAUAAAGUACGACGAAAUUGAUUUAGUUUUGUGGUGAUGCGGGGAUGUGGAUCUGUCUUGAUCCUAUAGAAAGCCGAGAAGGCUGGCGUGCUUCUAUUUUGUUCUUCGUAUUUCUUUAUUGGACAUCUUUUGGUAUUAAUGGCAGUCUAACAAAUGCAUCUAACAUUCAUAAUACCGUUACAUCAAAAGUGUUAUCGCCAGUUUCAACGCAUCAUGACGACGACGAAUGUAGGAAUGUGACCACUGACGAUAGAGGGGCUACUGGUCUCUCAGUGGUUAGUCAAGGAUCUGGUUCUCCUCAUUCGCCAAUAGUGCCUCCACCUUUUCUCUAUGGAGUUCUUACCUGCCAACCCUAUCAAGGAAUUUCUGUGAAUCACAUAUACUUUCAACUAGCCAAUGCCUUCUUUCUCUUGUCACAUCUCGCACCGAGUGGCAUACAUGGCGUACUUUAUUUAAGGUGCACUCUGCUCGUGGGCUGUGCCUUUCUUGCUUUGUGGGGCUGGACAAUAGCUUGUUGGCUAGACGCUGCUCUUUGGAAUGCUCUGUUUGUUGCCAUCAACUUCGUCCAUGUAUGCACGCUUCUUUAUAAGCUCAGGCCUAUCAAGUUUUCAAGGGAAGUUGAAGAGGUAUAUGUUGCAGUGUUCCAGCCACUGAGAGUGUCACGUCAUCAGUUUAAAAAAGUAUUAAAUUGUAUGAAGAUUAUUCGGCAAUUGAAAUAUCAAGAGGUUUAUGCCCAAGAAAAAGUGACCAAAGUUGAUUCUUUAUCAUUAGUACUUUCUGGAAAGUUAGUAGUAUCACAAAAUGGAAGAGCAUUACAUAUUGUCUUCCCACAUCAGUUCCUGGAUUCUCCAGAAUGGUUUGGUGUAUCAACGGACGAGUACUUUCAGGUAUCAAUAACAGCUAUGGAAGAAUCAAGGAUAUUAUUAUGGCAUAGAGACAAGUUAAAAUUAAGCAUAAUUAGUGAUCAAUUUCUGCAGGCAGUGUUUGAUCAUAUUUUGGGAAGAGAUGUAGUCAAAAAAUUGAUGCAAGUUAGUGAAACAAUGGCUGCUAGCAGUCAUCAGCAACAAAAUGGACAAGUAAUUGGUUUAGGUGGUAUUGGCGCCUUAGAAAAUGAUCCUGAUACUAAACUUUUUGUUGUGAAAAAGACGGGCGAUAGUCAAGGUAUUACUGCUCUCAUCAGUCGUCAACUUCAAGAAGAGAGAAUGCCGCUGCUGUACACAACUCAGGAAGUGCUGAACAACACUUUGCAUCACAUCAAUCACUUAUGUACACCUACCUUACAUCCUGUGCAACACAGCAAUGUUCAGUCCUCCUUGUAACAUUCCUGUGACACAAAUUGUGCAAUUACUUUGCACAAAUUUAUGUUAUAUUUCUACAAUGGAUGUCCAUAGAUUUAUACAAAUAUCAUUGGGUAACUUCAUUUAUUUUCUUCUGGUUAUUGUUUCCAGCAGCAGGCGAUCCAAAUGCAUGGAGAUUGGGAAGAAUUGAAGAGACUGAUCAUGAAACACCUGUUUAAUGAAAUGAUCAUUAGACGAAUGUCAUCCUUAGCAGUCAAUAUAAAGCGACACCGGUCUUUUUACAUAAUGUAAAAUAUUUAUCAUUUCUGGAAACAUAGUAUGGUGUGCUGUGUGUGGAACAAUUGAACAUUCUCUUGCCAAUUGAUCAUUUUUCCCACAACUAGUCAAGCAUAAUUAAUACUGAAAGGAAAGAUUUGAUUGUUCAUAGUUAUAUAAUGGUUCCAUCCUAGUUUAUAAAACGAUGUACAAUUAUAUAUUUCUUUAUGCUUCCAAUAUAUUAUUGAAUACCACUAAAACUGGUUUAAAAGUGGCUAUUUAUAAUUCACACUGAUUUAUUUCUUAACAUAUGCAUAUGUUUAAUAUUGAAUGAAUACGAUUUUAUGUAUGUAUAUUGAAAUGGAAUGGAAUAGAAUGGAAGUUGUUCAUUCACAACGGCGUAACUUCUUUAGUGAGAGAUCUGUGAUUUAUUGGAACUGAUAGAGGAAAAGAAAUUAGGGAGGCCUAAAUACCUGAUUGUUUCCCAUACUCAGAUAUAGUGCCUUUUUACUUGCAUUUCAUUUAUUAAUUUAUCAAGGAAAAACAUAUACAGUACUAUUGUACACUAAUUUACAUAUGUAUUCAAUAUAUUUUUAAAAAAGUUCCUGGCGGAAAUCCAUAUAUUGCAGUAAAUAAUAUUAAAUUUAAUAUAAAUAAUACUGUUGAAAAAUGAAAAUUAUAAAAGUGUAAUAUGAUCAAUCCUCUGUCAUUAUGUUUGUAAUAAUUCAUUCACAAAUUCAAUAAUCUAUGUUAUUUCUAAAAUCAUUUGAUGAAACAAAUAAUACAGCAAAACAGUUUAGAAAAUUUAAUGGAACAAUUAAGAUGUAACAAAUAUAAUGGCGAAGGUAUAGUUAGAUUUUAGACAAUUUCCUUCAUAGAUGUUAUUGUUGAUGAUUAAAAUAAUUAAAUGUAAUGAAGCACUUAUAAUGUUUACUGUUUCAGUUGGCGAUUUCCGCUAGCAACUGGUCAUUACAUUACAAUCAAAACUGUUUUUUAAAUAAAAUUCAUACAGAGAAAUGUUGCGUGAGUCAUAAUAUCAUAGCACUAUUAGGAAAACGGCGUUCAAAUUAGAAGUACAGGAAGUUACGCCAGAAAGCGCUGAAUGGUAAUAAAACCACAACAUGAGCUAUAUUGAUAGAAUAUUUAUAUUGAUAUACAUUGCUGAUAGAAAAAUAAAAAAAUGCAUAUAACUUUUAAUGUUUAAUAUCGUAAAUUUAUCAGAAAUUGAUACAAUAAUAUUAUAAUCAUAAUUAUUGGUUUUUUGCUUGAAGAAGAAAACAAUGUUAAUGUUGAACCUAAUUUAUUUGUAAGUGAUAAUUACAAUAAAAAUCACUUAUUCGUGAAAGAGAUAACAAAAAAUUAAUACGCACAGAGGAAUAUAGAAGAAAACAUUCGAAUGAAAAGCGAAAUUUGAAGUAAAAAAUCUCAGGUUUCAAUAAUUGGAUACACUUUUAGGAGGAAAAAAAACAAAGAAAAUUCUGGAAGACAAUUUUGUCUAGUCUGUAAUAUAAUGUAUUAAAAAAAUAAUACUUUCAAAUGUUGCUAAUUGAAUUCAAUGCCCAGUUAAGGUUGUAAUACAUACUUUAAGAAAACUUUUUAUAUGUAAAAUUAUACUCCUAAACAUACUUUAUUCCAAAUAUUAUAACUAGUUUAAAGGUUGGAUAAUAAUCACUCCAUCAUGAUUGUAAAAAUAAUUUUCUCUUUAUUCUAUGAAAAAGAAUCAAAUUACUUUUUGUAUAAUGUUAAAUUGAAAAUGAUAUUCGUAUCUGUGUAAGAGACAUUAACUGUUUAUUUGAAUGGAUGUAAAUUGUUCAUUAUUAAUCUUUAUUGUUUAUUAUUUCUUAUUGUUAUAAUUAUGUGUAACCGUUUUUAGCAUAUAAUUAGGUAUACACAGAGGUAUCAAUGAAAGAAGAAAAUUUAAGCCAUAUUGAAUACAAUAAUGAAAAGUUUAAAGAGAGGAAUAAAAAAA